AUAGUGAAGGACAUUUUAAAUACAGAACAACAUGGAUUUCACCUACUUACUACUGUUGACCAUCGUCAUGUUGCUACUAGCCACAAGUAUAACCUUGGCCCAAAGCCAGGAUGACCCUUACGCGAAUAGUUGGAACAAGCCGGAUGACCCUUACGGAGGGGAAUGGCGAGAUGUCUAGAGGAAUGUUUCCUACACACAGACAGGUGGAGAUAAGUGGCAGAUAAAAUGCAGCAACGUAGCAAACUUGUUCUUGUGAUAAAAUCUGC